GACGAACGCUGGCGGCGUGCUUAACACAUGCAGGUCGAACGGAAAGGCCCCUUUUGGGGUACUCGAGUGGCGAACGGGUGAGUAACACGUGAGUAACCUGCCCUUGACUUCGGGAUAACUUCAUGAAACUGGGGCUAAUACCGGAUAGGAAUCCUUGCUGCAUGGUGGGGGUUGGAAAGCUUCGGCGGUUUUGGAUGGACUGGCGGCUUAUCUGCUUGUUGGUGGGGUAGUGGCUUACCAAGGCUUUGAUGGGUAGCCGGCCUGAGAGGGCGACCGGCCCAAUUGGGAAUGGGAUACGGCCCAGACUCCUAAGGGAGGCAGCGGUGGGGAAUAUUGCACAAUGGGCGGAAGCCUGAUGCAGCCAAGCCGCGUGCGGGAUGAAGGCCUUCGGGUUGUAAACCGCUUUCAGCAGGGGAGAAGCUUGUGGUGACGGUACCUGCAGAAGAAGCACCGGCUAACUACGUG
rnacentral:rRNA from 1 species